rnacentral:rRNA from 1 species
GAUGAACGCUGGCGGCGUGCUUAACACAUGCAAGUCGAACGAAGCACUUUAUUUGAUUUCCUUCGGGACUGAUUAUUUUGUGACUGAGUGGCGGACGGGUGAGUAACGCGUGGGUAACCUGCCUUGUACAGGGGGAUAACAGUUGGAAACGGCUGCUAAUACCGCAUAAGCGCACAGCAUCGCAUGAUGCAGUGUGAAAAACUCCGGUGGUAUAAGAUGGACCCGCGUUGGAUUAGCUAGUUGGUGAGGUAACGGCCCACCAAGGCGAUGAUCCAUAGCCGACCUGAGAGGGUGACCGGCCACAUUGGGACUGAGACACGGCCCAAACUCCUACGGGAGGCAGCAGUGGGGAAUAUUGCACAAUGGGCGAAAGCCUGAUGCAGCGACGCUGCGUGAGCGAAGAAGUAUUUCGGUAUGUAAAGCUCUAUCAGCAGGGAAGAUAAUGACGGUACCUGACUAAGAAGCACCGGCUAAAUACGUG